CCUUGAAAAUCCGGGGGAGACAGUUUAAAUCUCACGCCGGGCCGUACCCAUAUCCGCAGCAGGUCUCCAAGGUGAACAGCCUCUGGCGUUGGAAGAAGGGAGAUAAGGGAAGUCGGCAAAGCACACGUCUGACU